rnacentral:rRNA from 1 species
CAGUCGCCACGGUAAUACGGAGGGUGCAAGCGUUAUCCGGAUUUAUUGGGUUUAAAGGGUCCGUAGGCGGACUUAUAAGUCAGUGGUGAAAGCCUGUCGCUUAACGAUAGAACUGCCAUUGAUACUGUAAGUCUUGAGUAUAUUUGAGGUAGCUGGAAUAAGUAGUGUAGCGGUGAAAUGCAUAGAUAUUACUUAGAACACCAAUUGCGAAGGCAGGUUACCAAGAUAUAACUGACGCUGAGGGACGAAAGCGUGGGUAGCGAACAGGAUUAGAUACCCGAGUAGUCCCUGUCUCUUAUAA